AGAAUCAACGCUGGCGGCGUGCCUAACACAUGCAAGUCGCACGAGAAAGGGUAGCAAUACCUGAGUAAAGUGGCGCACGGGUGAGUAACACGUGAAUUAUCUACCUCCGAGUGGGGAAUAACUGAGAGAAAUCUUAGCUAAUACCGCAUAACACUUACGAGUCAAAGCAGCAAUGCGCUUGGAGAGGAGUUCGCGGCCGAUUAGUUAGUUGGCGGGGUAAUGGCCCACCAAGACGAUGAUCGGUAUCCGGCCUGAGAGGGCGCACGGACACACUGGAACUGAAACACGGUCCAGACUCCUACGGGAGGCAGCAGUGGGGAAUUUUGCGCAAUGGGGGAAACCCUGACGCAGCAACGCCGCGUGGAGGAUGAAAUAUCUUGGUAUGGUAAACUCCUUUCGAUGGGGAAGAUUAUGACGGUACCCAUAGAAGAAGCCCCGGCUAACUUCGCGCCAGCAGCCGC
rnacentral:rRNA from 1 species